rnacentral:ncRNA from 2 species
UCAGUUUGAUUCUAGCUGCCCGAUUAAUUAUUUCAAUGAAAAACACAUGCAAGACUCCCUUUCCCGUGAAUAGCCUAGAGCCUCUCUAAAAGAACUUCUCUAUUUAUAGCCUUAAUAAAAUUUAUAAUGCUUAAACAUCUUCACGCCUGCAGUGACGAACCCUGCCCCCGUUGUUUACGCAAACCCCGGAAAAGAAUAAAGGGCUGAUAAAAUUCGUGCCAGCAAUCGCGGUUAUACGAUGAGCCCAAAUUAAUCAAUUCGGUGACAUAGAAUUCUCUCAUGAUAAUAAACUAAUUAACUAGAGGUACAAUUCAAUAACAUAUAAUUUAUCUUCUAUUAUCUUAAAUAACCUCUAUAAAAGCUUAACCCAAAACAAGGAUUAGAUACCCUUCUAUUUUAAGCCUCACACCAAAUACCGGGUACUACGAACACAUGUUUAAAACCCAAAGAUCUUGGCGGUGCUUCAACCCAACCAGGGGAACCUGUUCUUUAAAUUGAUAAUCCACACAAAACAAACCUUUUAUUGAAAUCAGCUUGUAUACUGCCGUCGCCAGUUUACCUUGAAAAAGACAGUAAACCUAAAAGAGUAACUCUCACGUCAGGUCAAAGUGCAGCCUAUAAAAAGGAAGAAAUGGGUUACAACCUUAAUAAAGAAAACGAACCUAAGAUGAAAACUUAAUAUAAGGUGGACUUGAAAGUAAUAAAUUUAUACCUUAAAUUUAUGAAUAAGGCAAUCUGAAGCGUGCACACAUCGCCCGUCACUCUCGCCUUUAGGGGAGAUAAGUCGUAACAUAGUUGAUAUAAUGGAAAUUGUAUCUAU